CGUAGGGGCCAAGCGUUGUCCGGAUUUAUUGGGCGUAAAGAGCUCGUAGGUGGUUCGGCAAGUCAGUUGUGAAAUCUCUGCGCUCAACGCGGAGGGGUCAGCUGAAACUGCUGUGACUUGAGUCUGGUAGGGGAGUGUGGAAUUCCCGGUGCAGCGGUGAAAUGCGCAGAUAUCGGGAGGAACACCAGUGGCGAAGGCGGCACUCUGGGCCAGUACUGACACUGAGGAGCGAAAGCGUGGGGAGCGAACAGGAUUAGAUACCCUGGUAGUCCACGCCGUAAACGUUGGGCACUAGGUGUGGGGACCUAUCGACGGUUUCCGUGCCGUAGCUAACGCAUUAAGUGCCCCGCCUGGGGAGUACGGCCGCAAGGCUA
rnacentral:rRNA from 1 species